ensembl:lncRNA
UGGAGGAUAGUGCACUUGAGGCUGGAAUGGACGGAGAGGCUUUAAAGGAGGUUGAGAAGUGUGGCUGCCCUUCCCAAGGAGGCAGAGUGGAUAUGGGGCAUGCAGGAAACCACCACCUGUGACCGCCUCAUUCACUGCCCGGCUCUGAAGGAUUCAAGCACCGGGUGCACACUGAGCAAAGCUCCAGCUUCAAAUCCAGUGAGGAUCAGCUCCUUGCGACUCCCAGCAGGAGCAGCAGGGCUGCUCUGCCAUUCUGACCUCUUGUUAAUUAGGGGCUCAUUAGCAUGGAUCCAGAAGAACUUCAGCCCUGGCACGUGCAUAUCAUGGCUGCUCCACAAAACUGAGCUAUCCAUCAGCCUGCAGGGGGGACUUAGCCUGAGCAGAGGGCACAGUGCAAAACCAUUCCCCACUAAAGGCACUGCGCUGUGUUUUUUGGGAAGCUCCACUGCUACCUCUCUGGAUCAACACUCUGCUGGGAGCACCAAGCAAGGAGAUGC